AACGAACGCUGGCGGCAGGCUUAACACAUGCAAGUCGAGCGCCCCGCAAGGGGAGCGGCAGACGGGUGAGUAACGCGUGGGAAUCUACCCAUCUCUACGGAAUAACGCAUGGAAACGUGUGCUAAUACCGUAUACGUCCUUCGGGAGAAAGAUUUAUCGGAGAUGGAUGAGCCCGCGUUGGAUUAGCUAGUUGGUGGGGUAAAGGCCUACCAAGGCGACGAUCCAUAGCUGGUCUGAGAGGAUGAUCAGCCACACUGGGACUGAGACACGGCCCAGACUCCUACGGGAGGCAGCAGUGGGGAAUAUUGGACAAUGGGCGCAAGCCUGAUCCAGCCAUGCCGCGUGAGUGAUGAAGGCCUUAGGGUUGUAAAGCUCUUUUACCAGGGAUGAUAAUGACAGUACCUGGAGAAUAAGCUCCGGCUAACUCCGUGCCAGCCGCCGCGGUAAUAC
rnacentral:rRNA from 1 species